UACAGAGGGUGCAAGCGUUGUUCGGAAUUAUUGGGCGUAAAGGGCGCGUAGGCGGUGCGGUAAGUCUGUAGUGAAAUCUCCCGGCUCAACUCGGAAAGGUCAACUGAUACUGUGCGACUAGAGUGCAGAAGGGGCAACUGGAAUUCUCGGUGUAGCGGUGAAAUGCGUAGAUAUCGAGAGGAACACCUGCGGCGAAGGCGGGUUGCUGGGCUGACACUGACGCUGAUGCGCGAAAGCCAGGGGAGCGAACGGG
rnacentral:rRNA from 1 species